rnacentral:rRNA from 1 species
GGGAAUUAGGGUUUGAUUCCGGAGAGGGAGCCUGAGAGACGGCUACCAGGUCCAAGGACGGCAGCAGGCGCGAAAAUUACCGAAGCUCAAAAUGAGGCGGUAGUAAUGAGACGUAAAAAAAUAAUAUAAGGGUAAAAAACUUAUUAAUAACUGGAGGUCAAGUCUGGUGCCAGCAUCCGCGGUAAUACCAGCUCCAGGGGUGUCUAUGAUGAUUGCUGCGAUUAAAAGGUCCGUAGUCGAAUUUAGAUAAUUGUUUGUAAUAUGUUAGAUAAAAUAAUAAAAAGAACAAUUAGUUAAAUGAAAGGAAUAGCAAGAGGUUGAUUAAUCGAGUAACGAGAGGUGAAAUUUGAUGACUUACUUGGGAGAAACAGAGGCGAAAGCGUCAAUCAAGUGUAAAUCCGAUGACCAAGGACGUAGGCUGGAGUAUCGAACACGAUUAGAUACCGUAGUAGUUCCAGCAGUAAACUAUGCCUACGCCAUUGAAUAAAAGUUUGGUGGACGAGAAAUCUAGAGUAGGGCUUCGGGGAGAGUACACGCGCAAGCGAUAAAUUUAAAGGAAAUU